UCAUAUAAUUCAACAACGUCAAAUAUUCCACAAAAAUAAAAAUAAAAAAGAAUCGAACAUGUGACAUCAUGACUGAGAUCUGAUGCGUGAAGUUUAGCUAUAAAAGGCCCCCAAAGAGCGAAGCCCCCUGAAAGAGGCACGCCUCUACAAGCUAGCUAAGACUAAGAGGCAGAGAUAUUACUAUUAGGUUUUAGAUCUGAUUACAUUCUUAUUUCCAUAUUUAUGCAGAAUCUCUUAUCUGCUCUUGCCCAAAGCCUUCUCUUAUAUAUUGCCGCGGCCUCUAAUUCGCUUGGUGCAGGUCGGGAACUUUCUUCGCCGCCGCCGCGCUCCAAUCACCAAUUGCGUGUUUGCGUGCUGCGGCAAUCCUCGAUUCCGACUCGGUGGAAAAAUCAAGUUCCCGCCUUGCAUCAACUGAAUCGGAGACUGAAGUGAAUGCCAUAAAUACGCCUCUUGUCGGAUUGAAUUGGAUUGGAUUUUUCAUGGAUCCACUCUCGAAUUGGUCUAGAUUUGCAUAAAUUUUCAUAAAUUUGUGAAUAAUUGAACGGAUUGAGAUGGAAAGUUGCAUAUCCUCUGAUCGUUUAUUUUUAUUUUUAGGGAUCUACCGUGAUUGGUCUGAUUGAUAGAUAUUGUUUCCGUUCUUAUGUUUGAUUUUAAAAGUGGUAUGGCUUGUGAAUUUCUUUUUUGAAUGGUAGAACGAGCGACCUCAAUUUAGGAUCCUACCUAGUUAGACUAGGGUAAGUUCUUAUUCCAGAAAGGGAAAGAGGUGUUUUUACGGUCUUUGCUUGUCUUUAUACCGGUUGGUUUUCCUAGUAAGUUGCUCUCUUUUCCCUCCUGAUACUGCUGCAAUCCUUUUACCUUAGGCAAAAUCUGGCAUCUGUUUUGCUUUUGUUAUGUGUAUUAACUGUACGUGCAUUCACUCAGAUUGAUUACAACUUUGCAAUUCUUUGUAAUAAGACUCGGUUGCUUGUUGAGUUGUUUUACCUUGCCGUUUUGGAUAUCUGAGGCUCUUGUUUUUAGGAGUAGAGUAUUAUCAUUUAGGGUUUCACCUCAAUAGAAAAAGGCAUCUUGGGUUUGUGAGAUCCUUUUGUGAAGUAGUUGUAUGCUUUGACUUGUCACUGAGAAAAUGGUGCACAUCAUUUCUUUGAUCCACCCAAUGCCAACUGUCUUCUGUUGACAUUUAAUGACUAGUGUUUCUCUUCAUAAAUGCAGUGACCAUCAGUUUGAAGAGGCUCUUGUAUAUCAGGGUAUGGACUUCAGGAAGAGAAUCUUUUGUGUGCAUGUAACAGAGAUCUGCAGUAUUGGCAUCUUAGAACUGCUUUGACUUGCAAUGAAUUAAGUGGCUGAAUUACAACAUGAUACUUGUAUUUUCAUUUAUGAUGUACAACUAUAUACAUUUUUAUUGAUUUUUAAUACAAGCUAGCCCUUUUCUUUU